rnacentral:rRNA from 1 species
CAGUAGCCACGGUAAAACGGAGGGGGCUAGCGUUGUUCGGAAUUACUGGGCGUAAAGCGCACGUAGGCGGCUUGGUAAGUUAGAGGUGAAAGCCCGGAGCUCAACUCCGGAAUUGCCUUUAAGACUGCCGAGCUAGCAGGUGAGAGAGGUAAGUGGAAUUCCGAGUGUAGAGGUGAAAUUCGUAGAUAUUCGGAAGAACACCAGUGGCGAAGGCGGCUUACUGGCUCAUACUGGACGCUGAGGUGCGAAAGCGUGGGGAGCAAACAGGAUUAGAUACCCCGGUAGUCCCUGUCUCUUAUAA